CAGUUGUUCUCCAUCUCCUGGGGACAAGCAGGCACUGAGGCCACAGUGCACACACUGUGUCUGAGAGGGGCCAAAGGGGAAAACCACCUGCCUGGAUUGUUCCGGCUGCAGCAAAGCCUCCAACCCUGGAGGUCUUUUCCAAACAGGAUAGAGCUUCAUCUCUCUGGAAUGUCUGAGGGCAGCAAGGUCUCCCCUGCUCUCUCUGCACAGACAAAGCUCGUCUUCCAUGAAUGACUGGGCCCCACUUCUGGAUGCCAUAGAGCUCCAAACUCCUUCUCGUACUCCACAAAACACAGAGCACUGCUCAGGGCCUUGGCUGCUGUGAAUGUGUUUCUUCUUCCAGAGUUCAUUAUGCAGGUCUGGAAAACAACAACAACAACAACAACAACAACAACAACAGCAGCAGCCACCACCACCAGCACCAGCACCAGCAGCAGCAGCAGCAGGAGAAAAGCAGGGGUUAGUUUGGGGGGUUGAAAUGGGAAAAAGUAGACAUUUCCAGCUCCCAACAUCUUAUUUCCCGAGUAUCUUCGGAGCCCUAGAAAAUGGCUCGGAGCUGCCUUUGCAGUUUUGAAGCUGCACUUGGGUUCCCAUCAGCCCCUGGGCCUCUGAUUGCAGCCUGGGGAGCACCUCUG
rnacentral:lncRNA from 1 species